rnacentral:rRNA from 1 species
UGGCGACCGGCGCACGGGUGAGUAACACGUAUCCAACCUGCCGAUGACUCGGGGAUAGCCUUUCGAAAGAAAGAUUAAUACCCGAUGACAUAGUUCUUCCGCAUGGUAGAACUAUUAAAGAAUUUCGGUCAUCGAUGGGGAUGCGUUCCAUUAGCUUGUUGGCGGGGUAACGGCCCACCAAGGCAUCGAUGGAUAGGGGUUCUGAGAGGAAGGUCCCCCACAUUGGAACUGAGACACGGUCCAAACUCCUACGGGAGGCAGCAG